GGCAGGUCGGAGGCAGCGCUGGUGUAUCUUGUUUGGCAGUGCCCAUGUUAAUGUAUGUGCGUUGGCUAGGCAAUGGGCACACAGGCAGCUGCUGGCAGCCACGGCGUGGACGUCCCCUGCACCGGGGCAUACCACAGGGUACAUGAAGGGAUGGAGUAAGAGGUCAAGACUGGGGGGCAAAGGAUGCAUAUCUUGGGCGAAACUACAUUUCAUCAGUUCUUUUGCCCGCUGAGUAACCUGUUGAGUUUUAGCGUGUCAGCUCCACAGUGACAGUGGGGCUGAAUAAGACCUUCGGCUUGUCCUAAAAGCAUCAAGGGUUCCCAUGAGAUCUCCCACCCGAGGAACUGCUAGAUCCAAAGCUGCACACCUUGAAAGACCGGAGGAUACCAAAGGCCUGAAGUCCAGCACAGCUGUGGGCUAUUUUCUGCACUCAAUAAGGCAAGAGAUGAUCUGAUCUUUGAGGUUGCUUACCAAAUCUCGACACAGCCUCAUUACAAGCUGUUUUCUGCUGCUAUCUGCAGCCAGAAGUAAUGAUAGCCAUGCAUGGGAAGACAGCACAGCCCCUCCUCCUCAAUGCGCACACCACCAAACCUGCACCGCGCUGCUUCAGAGGAAAGCAGUAGCUCCGGUGGGGACAGGAAUACUCAUCAUCAUUCCCCGCAUUCCUGGAGAAGCUUUCAUCCGAAGGUUUCAAAGAAUAUACCCUUUUCCAGCAUUGCGUAUAAUGCAUAAACCUUACAAUACCACUGACACGCAGGCUGGGCAACUGCAUUGUGUUGCGGCUUGCUGAGUCCCCGAGAGAGUUAACGUCAUCACCAAGUAAACUAAAGGCACUUUCAUUUGAAGCUAGUGGGUUCUCAGUACAGCGGGAAGCCAAGAUGCUUCCUUUGAGCCAUGCAGUUCUAGGCGACUAGGACUGAAAAUCUGGGCCACUAGUUAUCAUGGGCACAGUACUGAGUUUUGACACUGCAGAGCCAAAAUGCCUUUGCUUAAGAAGGCAGUACAACCACACAUAAUGCAGCACUGUAGAAAAUUGUGUACAAACCUUCUACAGAGGGUGUACUGAGGACCCAUUCAUCAUUUUUGAUCAGCUACAACUCUAAUUGAGGGAAUUCAUCACUCUAGAGCCCUGCCACAGCGGUAAAGUUUACACCCCUAGCCUCAGACCAUCCUGACAUUCAUCAAUGUUAGUUUUCUGGGGUCAGAUUUCUUUCUGCUGAUAGGGAAGGACCCAAUGGACAUAUUUCUUCUCAGGUUUUGUGAGGCUCUGAAACUCCUACUCAGUGUUAUAAGACUACUUUGCUCUCAAGAGCCACAUAAUACUUUGCAAAAAAUAAAUAGACAAAAUUAGAAAAAACACUGAAGAAAUGAAGGGAGGACUAGAGCAAAGGAAAUUAAUGUAGGCCUUAAAUGUGACAGAGAACUGCAUGACAGAAUUUUUAAAAGCACGUUUAGAAAUGUAGUUGGAAACCUGUCAGCAUCAUUAGAUGCCUGGACAUUUUUACAAAUCUGCCCCUGAAGGAGCUGUGGCAUAAAAUGAAUGCUAAAACAAGGGUUUUACUUCCAAGAAUGCUCUCAGCAAUGGAUUGUGGAAGCUUAAAAAUAUUUCUUUUUAUUUUCCUUAACUUUGUAGAGAGUUGGUAGGACUAUACAUUAAUCUGUGCAUACAGGGUUAUAUUCCUUGUGUAUGUUUGAGUCAGUGAUUCAGGACUCUGGCAGGGUGAAAAGCAAUCUGGUACAGAGCUGCUGUGUGACUGUAGGUGGUUGGAAACAGAACCCUUUCCUCUUAACCCCUUCAAACCUGGAAUGUGAUGCAGAUAUUUAAUUAUGGCUUCCAGUUUGCCUCCAAAGAGGAGGAGUUGACUUGCGAAUAUCUUUGCCCUUUAUUGUAUUAGCCCCUUUUUACUAUGUAAGGGAUGAGCUAUCUUUACUAAUACAAGCAGAUUUUUGAAAUCUUUGACUGAAAAAAAGUAUUACAAAACGGUACAUAAAGAGAAGAUAACGUAUGGACAAACACUACAACGAGCAAGGAAAAUCCUCACCUAGAGCCCCUGUGCAUCAUUCCUGCUACAUGUCCCCAGGGGUCUUUCUUACUGCUCAUCAGGACAGCCAGGUUUUCCUUUAGAGAGGAGAUACGUUCUUCCCCCAGCACAUGACAGUGUUCAACUUUGCUCGUAAUCUAAUAAAUAACGUGUUCAUAUGAA